AUUUCCCUCUUCCUUCUCUCUAGCUUGGCCAAACUCCUCCUCUCUCUCUCUCUCUCUCUCACUAAAUUUGUUCUCUCGAGCAAUACUCAGCCCACAUACAAUCACAUAUUCCUCACCUUUCUUAAAGAAACCCCUUAGAACUCAAGAGCUUGGUUUUUCAUGCAACUAGGAAGACAAGAGAACUACAAGAGGUAACAUGAACACUCUUGUCUUGUUUUCUUUUAAUUCUUUUAGUUAUUUCAUGGCUGACCAUGUGGUGUUUGGGAGUGUGUGUGUGUGAAUGUUGAGAGCUAGAACAAGUGAGUUUGAGGAGCUAGAGCCAAACCACUACAUCUAGAACUACAAGAGGUAAAAAUGGUAAUGUUUUUAGUUUUUGGUUAAAUAUUGUGUAGCUGAGUUGCAUGUAUAGUUUUGAUAUUUUAAAUCAAUUCUUGGUACUGUAAUUAUAUAUAUUUAGUUGAUGAUCAUGCGUGCAUGCAUAUUUUGUUGAAUGGUUAGAAGAGGAACCAAAUAUUCCUUUAGGUUUCUAUGAUUUUAUGCUGCCAAAUAUUUAGUCUCGACUUCAAAAGGUUCAAAUAAACUCUACAUUUACUUGUUUCCGUAGUUUACUAUCUUUAUUAUGAUUUUUUAGGAAGAGUAGAUACUCAUAGUGUGUAAAAACGUCCAAAAAAGUGCAAUAUUGGCUAAGUUAUGGGAUUUGGAAAAAUGUAGUGUAUUUGAAAAUGGUUUUAAAAACAGUACAUGCAACCAACUUUGGACAACGAGUUCUAUAAAAAAAAUAAAGUAUUUUUUUCACUAAUUUUUUAACUAAACACUCUUGAUAUAUUGGCAAUAAAACUGCUUAAGUUUCAUGGAAGAAUAAUGAAAAUAUUAGGAGUUUUACUUUUCCAAAGUUUAGAAAAAUUAAGGUUAUUAAAAACUAAUGCUCUCUAGGCAAUACAUUUUGUGAACAUUUUUUACCAAGUAAAAAUUAUAUUUUGACCUAAUUUUUCUCAUGGAAAUUUUUCACCAUAUCCUAAUAUGGACCUAAAAAAAAGAUCAAAAUAAUUAGCCAAUUGGAUUUUAUGCUUUAACAAAGUUUAAGAAAAGUCAUGAUUUUAAACUGGACAGUUUCAUUCAACACUUUUUGAAAAUAGUUUUCACUAAGUAAAAUUGUAUAUUUUGGUAUAAAAAUGAAAAAGACACUUCUUGGUAUAGCCAUGUUUGAUUAUGCAAAAGAUGAGAAUUUUUAGUGAUAAGGUCUUUGGGAUAUAACCUUCUAAAGUUAGGAAAUUAUCACAAAACAAAAUAGUUUUGACACUGAGUUAAAAUUUGGGAUUUUCUAGAAAAAGUUAGAUUUUGAUUUAUUUUUAAUGUUAAUAAUUAUGGGCUUAGAUUUUGUAAAAUAAAUAAUUAUUAAAGUUAAUUUGGAUUUAAGAAAUAAUAUUAAUACAAAUUUAAGAAUUUUAUUUAAAUAAAAAAAAAGGAUCCAAAGUCGUAUUUUUUUUAAAGAAAUUAAGGAUAAUUACUUUUUAAUCAAAUGAAAUAUUCUUUUAGUUUUUUAAAAACAUAUUUUAUUAUAUAAUCAUCUUUGAAAUUAUUUUCUCAAUAAAAUAAAAUUGACUUUUUUCUUAAAGAGUUACAAAUUAAUUAAUUCUACAAAAAUUAAUAAGUUUCUUAGUAAAUUAUAAAAAAAAUACAAUUUUGUAAAGUUAACAUGUUUUCAAGAUAUUUAAAUCGACUAGGUUUGAUAGUGGGAAAUGGACAAGAAAAUACACUCAAAGGUCGAUUUUUAAUAACUAGGCCUAAGAUUGGAAUUUUUUCGGGGAACUUAGAAUACCACUUUAUGGUUUAAAUUGAGUAAGGACUUUUAUACCCUUACUAGAUAUUCUUCAAUGAACUUAAUGCCCAAAGUAGUUUAAUCUAACAUAAUUGCCAUAAUUAAUCCGAGUAUACUGUAUGGUAACUACAGUCUUCACUAAAUUGGACGGGACUGUCUGCGGAAGGAUUUUUCCCGUAUGCAGCUAAGGAUGACUUGGGGUCCUAAUGCACUACUUGAGAUAUUUUACGGUCUGGUUCAAGUUCGUGAUAAUUAUUAUAAGGUUCGGUUCAAAUCCGUGACAAUUAUCAUAUGGUCUGAAUCAAGUCCAUGACAUUUGAAAAUUAUUCGGUCUGGUUCAAGUCCGUGAAUAUUAUACGGUCCAGUUCAAGCCCCUGAAAAUUAUUAUACGGUCUGUUUCAAGUUUGUGACAGUUAUUAGAUGGUUCGGUUCAAGUCUAUGACAAUGAUUAUUAUUGGUUCGAUUCAAGUUUGUGACAUUUGGCCCGAAGAUAAGUAUUCUAGUAAACCCUAGGAGUCUCAAUGAGCCAGUGUGAUUUCACGUACCCUUGUAAUAGUGUUAAUGCCCUUGGUGACCCAUUGGUAACCCUCGAGAGUGAUUUAAUGCCCUUGGUCUCCACUAUUGAUUUAUAUGUAUGUUAUUGGGGACAACUUUGGCAACUCCCAUGUUGGUUUUUAGGGUUAGAAAUAUUAUUUUGUAUCUGUUCUGUGGAUUGGUUUUUUGUAAGAUUACGACUAUUCUGUUUAUGUUGUCUGGGUUAGUCUUGAUAUUUUACGAAAGCUUAGGCAUUCUGUAAUUUUUUGCCUAGGGCUUGGAUUUAUUCGGAACCUUAA